rnacentral:rRNA from 1 species
CCUACGGGUGGCUGCAGUGAGGAAUAUUGGACAAUGGGCGGAAGCCUGAACCAGCCAAGUCGCGUGAGUGAAUAAGGCCCUACGUGUCGUAAACCCCUUUUGCCGGGGAGCAAGGGCGGGGACGUGUCCCGGCCCGGAGAGUACCCGGCGAAAAAGCAUCGGCGAACUCCGGGCCAGCAGCCGCGGUAUUACGGGGGAUGCGAGGGUUAUCGGGAUUUAUUGGGGUUAAAGGUUUCGUGAGCGGGCUUUUAAGUCAGCGGUAAAAAUUCGGGGCUCAACCCGGUCCGGCGGUUGAAACUGGGGGCCUUGAGUGGGGGAGAAGAAGGCGGAAUGCGUGGUGUAGCGGUGAAAUGCAUAGAUAUUACGCAGAACACCGAUUGCGAAGGCAGCCUUCCGGCGCCCUACUGACGCUGAGGCACGAAAGUGCGGGGAUCGAACAGGAUUAGAUACCCCUGUAGUC